ACCGCUCUCCAAGGACUCUCGAGCAGCUCCAUCUACAGAUUCACAUGGAGAAGAAUUAAGGGUUCCUGCCAAUCACCAGCACCACUUUGCCAGCCUUGUAAGUGGGCCACCUUGGAAUUGGAGCCUCCAGUUCCUACUGACAUCUGACUGCAACAUCAUGAGAGACCCUGAGUUUGAACCACCCAGCUGAGCUGCUUCUGAGCUAACCCACUGAAACCACAGUUGGCAUCUGUGUGAAGAUGUGAAUGGAGGAGGCAGAGUAGGCAGUGAGUGCCGCAGCCACAGCUUGUGUUCUCUGCAGCCCUGGCACAGAAGAUAGGAACACUCAUGGGGGAUGCGGCCACUGUGAUGUCUUCCCACACAAGAAGUGCCAAGUGCUUUUCUCAUGCUUUUCUGGAUUGUCCCAUGGUGGACGAGUCAGCAGGAGUGAGAUGGAGCAGCACAGUAGAGGGGUGUGCCACCUCUUUGAUCCAGCAAGUGGGAAGAACAGUCCCGGCCUCUUUGCACACAAGACCGUGAUACCAAUGCACCAUCACAGGCCCCACAGGGGAGCUGUCCGCUUCCCCACACAGCUGCUAGGGGCUCUUUUGCAUGUUCCCAACCUUUCCUGCCUUUAUCUGAUAUUCGUUCCUUAGAUCCUGGGAUGAGGAGGUGGACCAGCAGAAGGUGGGCUUGUGAAGGCAGCCCGGGGUCCAAAUCCUCCUGGCUCUUCAGCUUAGCGGGGUUGCUUAGACUCAGUGGUGUGCUGGAGCAGGCUCCUACCAGCUAGAAAGAACCAGUUCAAUACGUCUCUUCUCAACUCCAUGUUCAGAGUUGUCAGAGAACCAAUUGUUAAAUAUUUACUGGCACUCCA
rnacentral:lncRNA from 1 species